CGUAGCUUAGUGGUUACGGCAUUGGUGCAUAAAGCCAAAGGUCCCGGGUUCGAUUCCCGACG
rnacentral:tRNA from 1 species